rnacentral:rRNA from 1 species
UGACACAUGCAAGUCGCACGGGCAGCAAUGUCAGUGGCGGACGGGUGAGUAACGCGUAGGUAUCUAUCCUUGGGUGGGGGACAACUGUGGGAAACUACAGCUAAUACCGCAUGAUAACUGAGGUUUAAAGGCGCAAGUCGCCUGGGGAGGAGCCUGCGUACGAUUAGCUUGUUGGUGGGGUAAAGGCCUACCAAGGCGACGAUCGUUAGCUGGUCUGAGAGGAUGAUCAGCCACAUUGGGACUGAGACACGGCCCAAACUCCUACGGGAGGCAGCAGUGGGGAAUAUUGGACAAUGGGCGAAAGCCUGAUCCAGCAAUGCCGCGUGUGUGAAGAAGGUCUUCGGAUUGUAAAGCACUUUCGACGGGGACGAUGAUGACGGUACCCGUAGAAGAAGCCCCGGCUAACUUCGUGCCAGCAGCCGCGGUAAU